CCAAAUAAAUAAGCAAGUAAGGAAAUAAUAAAAUUGGAAGAGUACAGACAAGAUUAGCAUGGGCCCUGCACAAGGAUGACACACACAUUUGUGAAACAUUCUGUAUUUUU